UGGGGAAUCUUCCGCAAUGGGCGAAAGCCUGACGGAGCAACGCCGCGUGAGUGAAGACGGCCUUCGGGUUGUAAAGCUCUGUUAUACGGGACGAACGGCAGUAUAGUUAAUACCUAUAGUGCGUGACGGUACCGUAAGAGAAAGCCACGGCUAACUACGUGCCAGCAGCCGCGGUAAUACGUAGGUGGCAAGCGUUGUCCGGAAUUAUUGGGCGUAAAGGGCGCGCAGGCGGUCUUAUUAGUCGGUCUUAAAAGUGCGGGGCUUAACCCCGUGAUGGGAUCGAAACUGUAAGACUGGAGUGUCGGAGAGGAAAGCGGAAUUCCUAGUGUAGCGGUGAAAUGCGUAGAUAUUAGGAGGAACACCAGUGGCGAAAGCGGCUUUCUGGACGACAACUGACGCU
rnacentral:rRNA from 1 species